rnacentral:rRNA from 1 species
UGGCUGCAACUCGCCUGUAUGAAGUCGGAAUUGCUAGUAAUCGUGGAUCAGCAUGCCACGGUGAAUACGUUCCCGGGCCUUGUACACACCGCCCGUCACACCAUGGGAGCCGGAAAUGCCCGAAGCCAGUGACCCAACCUUAGGGAGGGGGCUGUCGAAGGUGGAGCCGGUAACUGGGGUGAAGUCGUAACAAGGUAAC